UGGGGAAUCUUGCACAAUGGGGGCAACCCUGAUGCAGCGACGCCGCGUGAGCGAUGAAGCCCUUCGGGGCGUAAAGCUCUUUCGACCGGAACGAUAAUGACGGUACCGGGAGAAGAAGCUGCGGCUAACUACGUGCCAGCAGCCGCGGUAAUACGUAGGCAGCAAGCGUUGUUCGGAGUUACUGGGCGAAAAGAGUGCGUAGGCGGUUUUCUAAGUUCGGUGUGAAAUCUCCCGGCUUAACUGGGAGGGUGCGCCGAAGACUGGGAAGCUGGAGUGUGGGAAAGGCAGGCGGAAUUCCUGGUGUAGCGGUGAAAUGCGUAGAUAUCAGGAGGAACACCGGCGGUGUAGACGGCUUGCUAGACCAUAACUGACGCUGAGGCACGAAAGCGUGGGUAGCAAACA
rnacentral:rRNA from 1 species